GCGGGGGGGGGGGGGCCUAUACAUGCAAGUCGAACGCUUUGUGGUUCAACUGAUUUGAAGAGCUUGCUCAGAUAUGACGAUGGACAUUGCAAAGAGUGGCGAACGGGUGAGUAACACGUGGGAAACCUACCUCUUAGCAGGGGAUAACAUUUGGAAACAGAUGCUAAUACCGUAUAACAAUGACAACCGCAUGGUUGUUAUUUAAAAGAUGGUUCUGCUAUCACUAAGAGAUGGUCCCGCGGUGCAUUAGCUAGUUGGUAAGGUAAUGGCUUACCAAGGCGAUGAUGCAUAGCCGAGUUGAGAGACUGAUCGGCCACAAUGGGACUGAGACACGGCCCAUACUCCUACGGGAGGCAGCAGUAGGGAAUCUUCCACAAUGGGCGAAAGCCUGAUGGAGCAACGCCGCGUGUGUGAUGAAGGGUUUCGGCUCGUAAAACACUGUUGUAAGAGAAGAAUGACAUUGAGAGUAACUGUUCAAUGUGUGACGGUAUCUUACCAGAAAGGAACGGCUAAAUACGUGCCAGCAGCCGCGGUAAUACGUAUGUUCCAAGCGUUAUCCGGAUUUAUUGGGCGUAAAGCGAGCGCAGACGGUUAUUUAAGUCUGAAGUGAAAGCCCUCAGCUCAACUGAGGAAUUGCUUUGGAAACUGGAUGACUUGAGUGCAGUAGAGGAAAGUGGAACUCCAUGUGUAGCGGUGAAAUGCGUAGAUAUAUGGAAGAACACCAGUGGCGAAGGCGGCUUUCUGGACUGUAACUGACGUUGAGGCUCGAAAGUGUGGGUAGCAAACAGGAUUAGAUACCCUGGUAGUCCACACCGUAAACGAUGAGUGCUAGUGUUUGAGGGUUUCCGCCCUUAAGUGCCGCAGCUAACGCAUUAAGCACUCCGCCUGGGGAGUACGACCGCAAGGUUGAAACUCAAAGGAAUUGACGGGGACCCGCACAAGCGGUGGAGCAUGUGGUUUAAUUCGAAGCAACGCGAGAACCUUUACCAGGUCUUGACAUCCCUUGACACUCAGAGAUGAGCGUUCCCUUCGGGACAGUGACAGGUGGUGCAUGAGUGGUCGUCAGCUCGUGUCGUGAGAUGCUGGAUAGGUUCCGGCACGGAGCGCAAUCUAUACUAGGUUGCCAGCAUCAGUUGGCCACCUCUAGUGGAGACCUGACCGAU
rnacentral:rRNA from 1 species